UGCAAGUCUACGAGAAAUCUCGCUUCGGCGGGAGAGUAAAGUGGCGAACGGGUGAGUAACGCGUAGGUAACUUGCCCUUGGGUCUGGGAUAACCUUCCGAAAGGAUGGCUAAUACCGGAUGAUGCAGCGGCUCCGCAUGGAGAUUUGUUGUUAAAGUGGCCUCGACUUGUCGUGGUCACGCCCAGGGAUGGACCUGCGUCCCAUUAGCUAGUUGGCGGGGUAACGGCCCACCAAGGCAUCGAUGGGUAGCCGGCCUGAGAGGGUGACCGGCCACACUGGGACUGAGAUACGGCCCAGACUCCUACGGGAGGCAGCAGUGAGGAAUAUUGGGCAAUGGGCGAAAGCCUGACCCAGCAACGCCGCGUGGGGGAUGAAGCUCUAAGGAGUGUAAACCCCUGUUAGAAGGGAAGAAUGGUUUCGAUGCGAAUAGUUUCGAGAUUUGACGGUACCUUCAGAGAAAGCCCCGGCUAACUCCGUGCCAGCAGCCGCGGUAAUACGGGGGGGGCAAGCGUUGUCCGGAAUCAUUGGGCGUAAAGGGCGAGUAGGCGGGACGGUAAGUCAAAGGUGAAAGUUCGGAGCUUAACUCCGAAUCUGCCUUUGAUACUGCUGUCCUUGAGUAUGAGAGAGGGGAGUGGAAUUCCCGGUGUAGCGGUGAAAUGCGUAGAUAUCGGGAAGAACACCAGUUGCGAAGGCGGCUCCCUGGCUCAUUACUGACGCUGAAUCGCGAAAGCGUGGGGAGCAAACAGGAUUAGAUACCCUGUUAGUCCACGCUGUAAACGAUGGGCACUAG
rnacentral:rRNA from 1 species